ACCAAUUCUGAUAAAAAAAUCAUGGAGUAUAGAUUGGAUCAAGAUUAAGAUCGAUCAACAGAGUUCAUCAAUAGUAGAUUUCAAAAAUAGUAGACAGGUUCGACAUGGAUUUGUCAUACAGCAUAAAUAUCAAAGUAAUUUCAGGUCAUCUUAUCAGAGUCAACAUAGUUUCUUAGAAGAGAAAGACAUGACUUGAUAGAGAUCCAUAGGUAUUUUUAGAGAGAGAAAAUGGAUGAAGAGAGAAAGUAGAGAGAAAAUAGAGAGAAAAUUUUCGUAUUCCUCAAAAGAAGAAUCUGUGAUCAAAAUCCUCAGAGGUCAUAUCAUGGUGACUCCAUAGUGAUCAACGGUGAUCAAACUCUAUAAAUUUCUGGUGA
rnacentral:lncRNA from 1 species